rnacentral:misc_RNA from 1 species
GCACAUUGGCCAUGGAUGCUGCACAAUACACAAAUUCAUGGCUAAUCAAUUCAAGAAACUUAAGAACAUAAAAGAAUAAUGAGGAAGAAAAAUAAAACAAAAAAUCUAAGGAAUGCUUGAAUGUUAUAUCAUUUAAUAACAAAUUUGAAGAAUUGAAGGUUCUAUAAGAAAGCUCUUUGCAAGUGACUAAAACACAACAGUAAAAAGUGACAUUUAAAAGCUGUUGGAACCUUGUCCUGCACUGAACAGACAGGCUUCACCAACCAAAAAAAUGAAACAAACCUGGAAAUGAGGGAAUUUCUCAAACUUUGGGAAUGCAUUAUUGGGGUGGAAACGUUCAAAUCGAAAUUUUGUUGAAGUUGAUUAUGGAGAUGUAAAAAUGGACUGUAAAAUCUAAGAGAUUGUACUAAGAGAAGAUAAAAGGCAGGAAGGCCUUACGUUAAUUUGUAGGAAACAUUAGUUGCUUAAUAAAAUCAAAAGGUUAUUAUCCACACACAACUAUUCAAGCAAUGAGCUUGGGGGGAAGAAGGCACUAAUUACUCACUAGUAUCCAUCUCUAAGCCCACCA